rnacentral:rRNA from 1 species
UACGGGGGGAGCAAGCGUUGUUCGGAUUUACUGGGCGUAAAGGGCGCGUAGGCGGUCAGCACAAGUCAGUUGUGAAAUCUCCGGGCUUAACUCGGAAAGGUCAACUGAUACUGUGCGACUAGAGUGCAGAAGGGGCAACUGGAAUUCUCGGUGUAGCGGUGAAAUGCGUAGAUAUCGAGAGGAACACCAGUGGCGAAGGCGAGUCCCUGGACAGAUCCUGACGCUGAGGCGCGAAAGCUAGGGGAGCAAACAGG